rnacentral:lncRNA from 8 species
GACAGUGGACACUGGAAGACAUUAUGGCCCACAAACCCCUUCAGGUUGAUCGUCUGUGAAAGCUGUAGUGGACUGAACCAAUUGUCUGUCUAUGCUUUAAACUCUAGCCUGCUAACUCUGCUUUCUAGUCUCUGGGUUCUCGUCCCAGACUCUGGGUUCUCUGUACUCUGGGUUCUCGUCCCAGACUCAGUUCUCUGCGGUCUCUGGGUUCUAGACCCAUACCAGUACGUUGUUGGUUUUAGUCCCCGGCCAGCCCACAGAAAGCCCUCCGUAGCGCUGAUCAGAUCACUACUACAGACUCAUCAAAGGCUCUGGGAUGAUUCUGCUGCCUUACCUGUCUGUCUACCUGUCUGUCUCCCACCUGGACUGUCUGACCAGUCUGUCUCACCUCCAGACUGAAUCUGGAGCAGAAAGCUUUAAACAUGAUGGACUGGUUGGUUUCGUAUCAUUUGUGAUCCUACUAAGGACAGAUCAAUAUUCACUGAAACCAGUACCGUGUGGUUUAAUAUGAGGUGAAAUGGCAGAGGUCAACCUCUGUGUGGAGAGACUGGAUCUGAUGAAUGGGUAAUGAGGCUGAAUGUGAAUCAGGAAGUGCUGAGAGGAAGACAACCGAAUUAACUGUGGGGUGAAGGAAGGCUUAACGGUUCACCUCGUGUGUGUGUGUGUGCAGACUAAGUGCUGCCAUCACCUUUCUUCUCACUGAUUUUGUCUGGUUUUAUCACAUUACUGCCCGCGCUGUUGCUGUAAAUAAACACAGAGUCACUCCCAAGAACAAACGAGCUAUUCAUCAUGUUCCACCGUGUCAACACUUUAACCUGACCCUGAUCUAAACCCUUUCCUGUUGAUCCACCACACAGCACAGGACUGGACAGAACUGUUCUAUACACAGGAGGGAGGACAAACUACUAUCAAGUAGACCGGAGGAUGUAACUAUAAACGCGUCUGUCCUUUAACAGCCGGCAGGCCACCUUGAACUAGAACCAUGUUAUGUUAUUCACAGGGACACCCUGCAGCGUUCACGUGCUAGUCGGAACUAGGAAACUUUGAAAUGUCUUGACUUCCUAACUGGUUGAACGCAGCACGUGUAUAACUACAAGCAGUUAGCAAGUUGGGACAUUUCACAGUUUCCUAGUUCCGACGAGUACGCGAACGCAGAAGUCUUAACACAGAGGCGUCCCUCAGUAACUGCGUGCUACAUCGUAAGGUCAUCCAGAAGGACAAGACAAAAUAUUUCCUUUUCAUGCUUUUGGAAAUGUGAUGUUUUAACAUUGCUACUAUUGCUAUAAUAUGGAGAAGAAUUCAGUCGUAAAAUCAGACACAAUGUUUCUAUGUUUGUGUGUAAAUAUAGACAUUCUAUACACCAAAUAAAAGUUGAGUAACAGUGGUAUUGGUGAUGUCCGGCGUGCUGCUGGAGAUGAGUAACAGUGGUAUUGUCCAGCCUGUUAGUCUGAAAUUGGUAAGUUCACAUUUUACCCCCCACAUUUACAGUUAUCUUCAUGUUCUCAUGUUAUAAAAUACAGUUCGUAGUUUAGAAUUUUUUUUACCUGCCCUCUGACUACCAGGUAAGUGUGAAUAACAAUGAAUAGACAUGAAACAUGAACACACAUGGAUCGGGCCCUCUGUCGCCCCCUUAUAUAGAGGGGUCUGGCUGUAGGGUUAUAUAGAGGGGUCUGGCUGUAGGGUUAUAUAGAGGGGUCUGGCUGUAGGGUUAUAUAGAGGGGUCUGUCGCCCCCUUAUAUAGAGGGGUCUGGCUGUAGGGUUAUAUAGAGGGGUCUGGCUGUAGGGUUAUAUAGAGGGGUCUGGCUGUAGGGUUAUAUAGAGGGGUCUGGCUGUAGGGUUAUAUAGAGGGGUCUGUCGCCCCCUUAUAUAGAGGGGUCUGGCUGUACGGUUAUAUAGAGGGGUCUGGCUGUAGGGUUAUAUAGAGGGGUCUGGCUGUAGGGUUAUAUAGAGGGGUCUGUCGCCCCCUUAUAUAGAGGGGUCUGGCUGUAGGGUUAUAUAGAGGGGUCUGGCUGUAGGGUUAUAUAGAGGGGUCUGGCUGUAGGGUUAUAUAUAGAGGGGUCUGGCUGUAGGGUUAUAUAGAGGGGUCUGGCUGUAGGGUUAUAUAGAGGGGUCUGUCGCCCCCUUAUAUAGAGGGGUCUGGCUGUAGGGUUAUAUAGAGGGGUCUGGCUGUAGGGUUAUAUAGAGGGGUCUGGCUGUAGGGUUAUAUAGAGGGGUCUGUCGCCCCCUUAUAUAGAGAGGUCUGGCUGUAGGGUUAUAUAGAGGGGUCUGGCUGUAGGGUUAUAUAGAGGGGUCUGGCUGUAGGGUUAUAUAGAGGGGUCUGUCGCCCCCUUAUAUAGAGGGGUCUGGCUGUAGGGUUAUAUAGAGGGNNNNNNNNNNNNNNNNNNNNNNNNNNNNNNNNNNNNNNNNNNNNNNNNNNACCUCUGGUCGAUUCCCCUACAGAAAGUCCCUCUGCUUUAAACUGUACAAAGUAUAACUGUAUAUAUAUAUAUAUAUAUAGAGAGAGAGAGAUCAAGGGAAGAAGAGAAGUAGUAUUUCUACCGUAGAUCUAGUAGUAUUUCUACCGUAGAUCUAGUAGUAUUUCUACCGUAGAUCUAGUAGUAUUUCUACCGUAGAUCUAGUAGUAUUUCUACCGUAGAUCUAGUAGUAUUUCUACCGUAGAUCUAGUAGUAUUUCUACCGUAGAUCUAGUAGUAUUUCUACCGUAGAUCUAGUAGUAUUUCUACCGUAGAUCUAGUA